rnacentral:tRNA from 2 species
GGGGUCGUAGCUCAGUUGGUAGAGCGCGACGUUCGCAUCGUCGAGGUCAGGGGUUCGACUCCCCUCGGCUCCACCA